rnacentral:lncRNA from 1 species
AUAUAUCAGCAAAUAGCAGCGAAAUUUGUAUACAUGUAUCCUUUAAGCAAACAAAACUGUAUGCAAAGUGAUCAUGUAGUAUUAUUGCUAAAAGGAGUUAUAAAGAAAGAAAAGAUGCAUACAGAAAAGAAAUCUAAAAGAAAUAAAAAGAAGAGAGUAUAAGAAAUAACAAUCGCUUUGCACUUGUACAAAUAAAGUGUUCUGCUACUCCGCUCCCAUAUUGAACAGCCAGUAGUGUGAGUUUGUCUUAUUUUGUCGGUCCUCAUUCUUUCAGCGUUUAGCAUAUAUGUUGAUUUCUUUGAAUAAUCGGCGGAGACAACUUUUUAAAUUUAAACAACUAAACCCCAAAAUUUCGGGUGUAAUUGCAGAAUUAAACAAUAAUUUUACAUCAACGAAAAAUAUUUUCAUUUGCACUUGCUACGAAACAGGAGAACUAAUGACGGGCCUUGUUUUCUCGGCGUUCUAUUUCUAAAGCUCGUCAAUUUUUAUACGACCGCAAAAAAUGUUUGCGUUCGUAUAAUGGUAUGAUGUCGUUGUCGUCUGCAUCUGCGUCGUCCGAAGACACAUUUGGUAUCUGGACAAUAACUUUAGUUUGAGUGAAUAGAUCUCUAUGAAAUUUUAUAAGGAGGUUCAAUACCUUGAAAGGAAGGUGGGGG